rnacentral:misc_RNA from 1 species
ACUCGCGAAAGACUCCUGCGAGAUUGAACGAAGGGCACCAGACAGAGAUCGAAACAAAAUGGAUUACAAACCAGCAAAUUGGGACCUGAGAGUGAAGGCGACGGAGAGUGUAGAUCUGAGGAAGAAAGAGGUGAAUGCUGGUUGGGAGUGAAGGGAGAGGGCAACUGGGCAAAGCGAUGGAUGUUGGGGCCGAUACGGGAGC